AACGCGAAGAACCUUACCAAGGCUUGACAUACACCGGAAACGGUCCAGAGAUGGUCGCCCCCUUGUGGUCGGUGUACAGGUGGUGCAUGGCUGUCGUCAGCUCGUGUCGUGAGAUGUUGGGUUAAGUCCCGCAACGAGCGCAACCCUUGUUCUGUGUUGCCAGCAUGCCCUUCGGGGUGAUGGGGACUCACAGGAGACUGCCGGGGUCAACUCGGAGGAAGGUGGGGACGACGUCAAGUCAUCAUGCCCCUUAUGUCUUGGGCUGCACACGUGCUACAAUGGCCGGUACAAAGAGCUGCGAAACCGUGAGGUGGAGCGAAUCUCAAAAAGCCGGUCUCAGUUCGGAUUGGGGUCUGCAACUCGACCCCAUGAAGUCGGAGUUGCUAGUAAUCGCAGAUCAGCAUUGCUGCGGUGAAUACGUUCCCGGGCCUUGUACACACCG
rnacentral:rRNA from 1 species